UGAACAACCUGCCCGAGCGAGGGGGAUAGCCGGCCCAACGGUCGGGUAAUACCGCGUACGACCACAUGGGGACAUCCCUGAGUGGUGAAAGCAGCAAUGCGCCGAUGGAGUGCCUCGCGGCCUAUCAGCUAGUUGGUGAGGUAACGGCUCACCAAGGCGACGACGGGUAGCUGGUCUGAGAGGAUGGCCAGCCACAUUGGGACUGAGACACGGCCCAGACCUCUACGGGA
rnacentral:rRNA from 1 species